ACAAUAGCCAUGAUAAAGCUGUUGAACAGCAAACUGCUUAAUGGUCCGAGUGUGCCUUCCAAUGGAUUCAUGUGCGCUGUUUCUGUGUAGGUAACUUAGGGUUUUCUGGUUGGUGUUGCUGGAGGCUUGGAAUCUGGAAUUUGUCAAAGAUUAUAUGUUGAACUGCUGCAGCAAAAACCUUUCUGAUUGACAUUUGAAUUUACUGAUUCCGUAUAAAUAUGUAACAGCUUAUCAGCAAUUUAUUCCCUCUCUUUGCUGUGUGGAACAUUUAUUUUAACAAACUGUAAUGGAUGCGUUUAGAUUGAACAAUCAACCAUCUCAUGCGAAUGUCUAGUUGCUGUUUGGUUGGCAUGCCUUGUAUCUUCAUUGAUCAGGCCUACAUUUCUUAACAUGUUCAAAAUCUUUAUUCAUUCAUGUUUAAUAAAAUCUCAAAUGAUACAAAUUUCUUUCGUAUUCCGUGAUCAACGUGACAUGAAUUAGCUAAACCUCCAUACAGGUCUGGGAUGUUUGAGCAUAAAAUUAAUUACUAAUUGCAAACCCCACCAGGUUCGUUGCAGUGUGGUUGAGGAGGUAUGAAUUUUGAAGGGUAUCAAGAGACGGACCAAUAGUUUUUUUUUUUUUGAACUCAGAGACGGACCAAUAGUUAAAAGCUAUAAAAUACAUGAAAGUAAUCACUCACUAGAAAGCAUCCUAGAAGCGUAACAGUAACUACACACUAACUGUUGGGUCUUGGCCAAAGUGGGCACUGAGAAGAAACAGGCUGGCGUAUAACAAAUCCAGACAUUAUUCUCUGAAGAAUACAUAUCGAACUACAGCAAUUGAUAAGGAAGCACGUAAUGGUGCACGUCAAGUAUUAAUACAAAAUUUAGUGUAUCAUAACUAAGGCAUCGAUGCUUUUGCCCACUUACUUCUGCUCCUUAAACCUCUAGAAUGCCUAACUCUUAAUCAAGACUGCCACGUUCACCUUAAAGCUGAACCACUGAUAGGAGUUGUACUCAGUGAAGGCAGUGCUAAUUAGCUGUUGCAACCCGUACACUCUCAAAAUUGCAAAUAGUGGAGUCAUUUUGCGAUCAAAAUUCAAAUGCUGAGUCAUUUAUACUCAGCAAGAUAAAAUGAAUGGAUAGUACUGACCACUAGGUAAAAAUAAUACAACAAAUACAGCCCACAAAAAUUUAUUAUCAGAAGUUCUUUAAGAUCUUCUCUGCGGAGACUCCAUCAGCGACAAGAAGAGAAGUAACCUCCUACAAGAAACAAGAUCAGAGAUCCUUAGUUUGCUUUCUUAAUGCAAAUGGAAGAAGAUGCCUACUUAAUGCAAAUCAAGAAAUAUCUAAGUGGCCAUAGUUUACACUUCUGGCACGCCAGUUACCUAGAAGAAGAGAAUUUUCAUCUUCUUAAUUGUAAGGCAGUAAUUCCAGUCAAGUGCUUAAACAAGUUUACUUUUUAAAUCAACCUUCUUUUUUUGGGUUUUUUCUGGGUCUCAAACUUCUACAAUAAUCUCUCCAUCUUCACAAGUCAGAUUAUAUUUGUUCAUCACAUCCAUGAUAAGAACGUGUUCCUAAAUCUGUUGGGCAUGAGAAGCAUGUGCAGACAAAGCAAAAAGAAACAAAUACAAAAUCCAGUAUCUGAUUUUCUUUCCAAAUGUUGAAAUUAGCUGUUUACUCUUAUACUAAAGUAACAUGCCAAGCACUCAAAAGCAUUGGAAUCACUUCAACUCCUUUUCUUUCUUCACAACCGAAGCCUGCAGCCUGACUAUUUUUACCCCAUCAUGUUAUCCCUAGCUCUCUGCUAACCAACCCAACCAAAAUGUUUGACACAAUUCAGCAUCUUUCUUCUCCUAGCCAACAAAAAGCAAACCCAGGCCUUUGACAAUUAUAACUGAAUUAACAGGAUUCUUGCAGCCCAAUAAAAAAUGGAAAAAGGUUUUUCCUGAUUAACUGGGAGUCUAAGAAUCUUCAAAUUCCCUAAUCCCUAUUGUGAAGUAAAUAACAGUGCGUCCAAAGCUCACAUCAAAAAAUAUCUCACAAAGGCAGAGAAGACUAUAGACAGGCGAAGCAUUUUUUUUUUUUAAUAAACAGGCCAAGCUUUGUUCUUUCCAAUUGAGAUCAUACUAACUAAUUAGGAACUGCACCGUGCAUGGUGAUGUUUCUUCCAAUAAACUUACAGCUCCAAAUUCAAACUUUCUGAAUUUACCGUAGAUAUAAAAAUUUAAAUAGUGAUUUUAUCUGUUUUUCCCAAUUUUUACCAUAAUAUGAAAUCAGGAAUUGGAAAUUUUUUUAGAGAAUCUCUAAUAUUACCUGAUUCCAGAUCCAGUAGCGAAAAUAAGCACCGUCUGGUAAUCCUGUGGCGGAGAAAUUUGAUCAAUUUCGAAACCUUUCCCCAUGGCCGGAGUCAACUCCACCACAUCACCUUUUUGGAGUCCACAUAGGAGCUCAGCGGUAGAGCCGGCGACGCUUUUAACUAGGAAUUCAAAAACACCUUUAGCAGCGGCCAAGGACGGUGGCGAAGCAAUGGCGAGAAAAGACGGUUUCUCGGAGACGGGGACUUUAAGCUGGAGAUACUGGCCAGCCUUGGUAUAAGAAGCGGCGAGGUCAGGAGAAUCGGAGACGUCGACAGUGACGUGGAAGAGCAAAUCGGCGGCGGGGGAGACGGUGAGAAGAGGCGCAGAGGUCCAAGCGGUAGUGUCUUGCCGGACGGCGGCGGCGGCGGAAACGGAGAGUUGGCGGCGGAAAAGGUGGAAAAGGAGGGGUUGGGGUUUUGGUCUGAGGAGGGUGGUCAUGGGAAAUGAUUGACUACGGCAGGGUGCAUGGGAACUUAUGCGAGGAAGACGCGGGGUUGGAGUUGGGGAAAGAGUGAUUAUGGACAUUUUUUCUGGUUUUUAAGGUAAAAAGAAUAGUAAGCACUUUAGUUUGCUGUUUGAGUUGGUCGUGGAGGAGACUAGUAAGCUCCGCCGCCGCAAAGGGUGGUGGACUGGGGAGAAGGGAACUGGCCUGUGGGCUGUGGGUCAAAAUACGCCGCGAGCGCGAUGCGCCGGAGUAAUUGGGAGCUUCCACGUGGCAUUUCUUGAUAAGUAGCGGGCCCUACCAGUUGCUCCAAUUUUGCAGGAGAUACCAAAUGCAGACGCCAGAACUAGAAGCGUAAAAAUAAGCACAGACAGAUCAGUAAAAUGAAGCACGGAAACAGAGAAUUACAACCUACGUUGGAAGUUUACCUGAUCCGAGGAGGAGAUUGUCAAACACUUAUAUUUUGUGAUAAAGAUUGAUUAGAAGUGAAACGUCUUGGCCUUUUUAUAUUAUACUGGAUAAAGAAGAAAACAUUUCCAUACAAAAAUUUGAUUAAAAGUGCAACAUCAUUUCAAAAACAUCAGCAACACAUAUUAUAGGAUAGCUUCAAAUGCAGUCAAUACAGGAACAGUUACUUCACAGCUAUUUCGUCCAUGGUUGAUAUUUGUUCUAACAGCAGAUCAUUAAAGUUUGUUCCAAUUCAGGUUUCCGUGACAGUUUCAUGCCUCGGCUGUAAGAUACAAAUGUAACAGCGGAUCAUUAAAGGUUGUUUUAAAUCGGAUCAUUUGCACACCCCAUUUGCUCAAAAUUUUGACAAAUACGAGGUAAAGCAACAGCCCGCAUGUCAAAAAGCUAAUGACACAGAAUAAUUUUGUGCUGGAAAGAUGGAUCAGAUCAUUGAGCCUAGUUCUUUGCAGAUAAAAAUUUCAUAAUUUUCACUCCCGCUUCGAGUACACAAGAUUCAGGAAAAGGGGAAGAAAGUGAUUCAGAAAAUUCCAUGGCUGCUGCUCUAGUGUUUCUAACAUUAAAUUCAGAGGCAAAAUAUACAUGUCCGCCACCGCCCUUAUUGUAUGACAAGACAAGGCAUAAGGGGGCUUUCGCAGGGGGGGCCUUGCACUCUCCGGCUCCAUGUCCGUCACAAUCCCACACCUUCAGUUGAUAUAUAAAACAGAAACAGAAAAACCUGGACUCCUCAGUUCCCCAAAAACCUCAAAAUAUAACUCCUGAUCUUGGCCAAAGCCAGAAAUUUAAAUUAUUGAUUUUCAGAAUCAUCAGUUAAAAAGGGUAAAAAAAAAUAAAAGUCACUAAAAUUCCUUAUGCUGCAGAUUCCUUGGCAAUCUUCUCAGCUUUAGCAAUGACCUCGUCAAUGCCACCAACCAUGUAGAAUGACUGUUCUGGAAGAUCAUCGUAGGUUCCAUCCAAAACACCCUGUAGAAAUCAACAAACAGAAAAACAUCAGCAUAUCAUUUGAAUUCUCUGAAUAAAUAGGAAGAGUCAAAAUAGCCAGAGGAGUCAUAAUGGAAAGUAAAAUGAUGCAAAUGAUUGUUCUUAGACCAAUCAAAUUUCAGACUGAAGCUAUACCAUUGCAGCAUAAUGUGCAAUUACAUCUGCAAUUGGAUAGCUGAAGCAGAAACCCAAUGUUUCUAAAUUUCACAUAGUUCAAGAAAACUAGGAUUCAAAAGAAAAGCUUUCACAAUUAGCACCAAAGAAAUUCAUGCUUUGACAUUGUCAGUUAAAAACAUGGGUCAUUGUACCAUCAAAAGUUUAUAUAGGAGUUAAGACAUAGCAUUGCAAUCAGAAGAAUAUUCUAAAUCAAAUAAAGAAACUGAAGUAAAAAGCUACUCCCAGGUUCUGUUAAUCCAACCUGAGAUUCCCAGGACACCACAUGGCAUAUCUAUAAGUUCAAAAAACCGAAACAUUCAGGUGGAAAGGGACAGUGGCAAAUGUAGUGCAGACCAUACAUGGGCUAAAAUGAAACGAUAUUUACCUGGAAACUGGCAAUGCUCUCCUUCAACUCAACAUAUUUUCCAGGGGCACCCGUGAAAACUUCAGCAACAUGGAAAGGCUGACUCAAGAACCGCAUCAUUUUACGUGCACGGGCAACUGUCAAUUUGUCAUCUUCACUGAGCUCAUCCAUUCCAAGAAUGGCAAUGAUAUCUUGCAAAUUCUUGUAGUUCUGAAGGACCCUCUGUACUCCACGAGCAGUGUUGUAGUGAUCCUCUCCCAAAAUGUGUGGAGAGAGCAUACGUGAUGUGGAAUCAAGUGGGUCAACAGCAGGAUAGAUACCAAGCUCAGAGAUCUGGACCAAACAUUAAAUCAUCAAUAAAUGUAAAUUUUCAUGUGGUCUGAAAACUUUUAAGACUUAAAAAGUCCAAUUACCUGUCGAGACAAGACAGUUGUGGCAUCUAAGUGAGCAAAUGUAGUAGCAGGCGCAGGAUCUGUCAAGUCAUCAGCAGGCACAUAAAUAGCUUGGACAGAAGUAAUGGAGCCUUUUCUUGUGGUUGUGAUACGCUCUUGAAGGCCUCCAAGAUCUGUAGCCAAAGUUGGUUGAUAACCGACAGCAGAAGGGAUACGACCCAACAAAGCAGACACUUCAGAGUUGGCCUGAAGAUAUACAAAGUUAAGUUGAAAGUAUUCAGGAGAAGGACAGGAAAAUGACAUGAAUUACAAGCAUGAUCAUGUAUUUCUCUUAAAGGCAGAAUAUAGACUUAGUCAAUAAGGGCCAAGCAGCAAAAACUAGCACGAAAAUUCCAUUACACAGGUGCACCCACCUGGGUAAAACGGAAAAUAUUAUCAAUGAAGAGAAGCACAUCCUGCCCUUCAGCAUCUCUGAAGUGCUCAGCCACAGUCAAACCUGUCAAUCCAACACGAGCACGAGCACCCGGGGGCUCAUUCAUUUGACCAUAGACAAGCGCACAUUUGCUUUCAGCCUAGACAUUCAUCAAAACAUCGACACAUUGAUAAACAGGGUUGAUAACCUGAUUAAAAAAUACUAGUCUACAAAUAAUACUAAUGUAUUUACCUGCUUAUCACCAAGCUUAAUAACACCACUCUCCAUCAUUUCCCUAUAUAGAUCAUUACCUUCUCGAGUUCUUUCUCCUACACCAGCAAAGACAGAAAAACCACCUGGACAAGGAAAAAGAGCACAAUGCAAAUGUUAAACUAAGAAAACUAGAAAAUUAACCACUGAAGCCAGAAUAUCUCCUAAAACAACCAACCAUGGGCUUUUGCAACAUUGUUGAUCAGUUCCAUGAUAAGCACAGUUUUUCCUACUCCAGCACCACCAAACAAUCCAAUCUUGCCUCCCCUUUGGUAUGGUGCAAGCAGAUCAACCACCUGAAAGAAUAUUUAAAAGAGGGUAAACUCGUUAUACCUCUCAAACUUACACAGACUUGACAGUUAAUCGAAUAGAGCAAAUGAAAUUACAUUUUCUAAGGAUAUAGGAUAGGCUUAGGUAUGAAAAAUUGUCAUUGUGACAUUACCUUAAUUCCAGUAACAAGAAUUUCUUGUUCAGUCGACUGCUCAACAAAGGCUGGAGCCUCGCGAUGGAUUGGCAAAUAGUGUUCAGUUUCUGCACAAGUAUCAGUUGAUUUGUAAGACACAACCCCUUCUAGGAAACAAGCUGCAAUUCACAUCAUGCAAUGGCAAAAAGUUUACUUACUGAUUUCGCCUCUCUCAUCAAUAGGUUCUCCGAUAACAUUUAUGAUUCGUCCAAGAGUAGCUCUACCAACAGGCACCUACCAGUAGAAGGAACUUGUGAAUCAAAAUGGUAUGAUCACCACUUAAAGCACAUCACACCUCGAAGAACUAUAGUAAGGAUAUACCCCAGAAGAAACUGCAGACAUAAAACCCAUUAAAAUGAACAAAACAAUGCACCUAUUUCCGUUAUGAAUAAGAAUUAGUUAGUUCAAUAGCUCAAGAUUCUGACUUUAUAACUAACCAGCAGCAAAUACUUAGAAAAAGGUCCCAAACAACAAAACAAGAUUUGCAAUGCCCCUAAAUUCCUUUCCUUUCCCACAAAACCCCUCUCACACGUCAAAACAAUUUUAAGGACUUUUCAAAUAUGACCUUUCAUCUUCCAUUAUCCAUAUUAUAUCUACUACUAUCCACUACAAGCAUAAGGUAACAACUCUAUUCACCAAUCAUAUGACCGUCGUCCAAUACAAUCUAAUUUUUUCCAGCUUUCAAGGACCGUCAACUGAUUGAUUUGGGUUCAAGGUUCAGCCACCAAUUGAGACCAUUUCACAUAUCUCCAGUAACUUAACAAAUCGUUUCAUUGCACAUACCAUACAUCCUCACAUUAUCCAAAGCAAAAUGUACAGAUCCUACCCCAAAAUCCACCCAAACCUUCUAAGAGGAUUCAAUUCCCAACCCAAGAUUUCCAGAUCUCACAAUAAAACAACCCAAAAACCCCUCGAAACUAACCCCAUUUUCAAAAACGAACCCAUAAAACAUCUUCAAAAAUCAAGUCUUUUUCUCAAUAAAUCCAUCACUCACAGUAAUAGGAGAGCCCGUGUUGAGCACGGCCUGGCCACGAACAAGACCUUCAGUACCAUCCAUAGCAAUACACCUAACAACAUUCUCCCCGAGAUGCUGAGCCACCUCAAGCACGAGCCGGAUCUGAUUAUCGAGCACCUCCAACGCCGUCAAGAUCGGAGGCAAUCCAUCCUGGAAUCUAACAUCAACGACGGCACCGAUCACCUGACAAACUUGCCCAAUAGCACCUCUUCCAGUAAAAUCAUCAGUUAUCUUCCCACCAGUUCCGCCGGCCGGCUUAGUGGAAGGAGCGGAAGCACUCGACGAGGCAGCAGCGGAGGUAGCGUAGUGGGCGGCCCGGUUAAGUAAAAAGCCGGCCGGGGAAGGUCUUGUGGAGGAUUUGGCGGCGGAAGUGAAUGAAGAGGAUGUACGACGGAGAGAGGACGUGGAGGAACGGAGGAGUGAGGCAAUUAGCCUCCGGGAAGCCAUGAUGGUGGUGGCGUUAGGGUUUGGUCAAUAGAGAGAGAGAGAGAUGACAGUAGAGUAGAGAGAGAGGAAGAGUGAAUAGGGUUUGAGGAGAAUGUAUAACUAGCGAGAUUAGCCUGAGAGUGAGAGUGUAAUGAUUGUAGAAAAGUAACCUUGGAGCUGUUUUUACUGCGGUGAAAAAGUGGUAUUACAUGAUUUUCUUUGACUUUUUUCCCCCAGAAUAUUCUCAUUCCCAGAUGAGCUCCUAAAUAUGUGAUUAUGCAAAUAUCAUUGGAUAACUAUUAAGAAUUAAGCAAAUUAUUAUUGGAAUAUGAGUUUUAACCACAUCUGGUCCAUGGUUUUAGAUUUUGAGAGCGAAAGAUUAGGAUCACUAACACACAUUCAGUGUUUAGGUUAGACUAAUUUUGGUGCACGAGUCUUAUGAGUUAUGAGAUGUUAUGUGCAGUAAAAAAAAUCCAAUUAAUUACCUUGAUAAUCUUUUGAUACUAAUAAAAAUAUAUGGUCUAUACAACAUGAUGGGUACAUUAAAAAUAUGUUUGCAUAUUACAUAUUAAUUACUUACAUUUAACAUGUAAACUAAAUUAUACUAUAUUGGCAUAUAUAUAUAUAUAUAUAUAUAUAUAUAUAUAUAUAGGUAUAUCACAUACUGCUCUUUUUCUUAAUAUAUUUGCUUUUAGGGGGGAUUUUGUCCUAGUAAUUCUAAAUUCUAGUGUAGUUCAUGCCUCAUGGUCAUGUUUACAAGUUGCCCUAAUAGUGGUCGAUAACUUUACAGAAUUUGCAUUGCAAAUUACAAGAGAGAAACAACCAAACACAGUAAGAUAUCACGAGAUGUCAUCAAUUUUAAUGUAUUCAUGGUUUUUAUGAUAAUGUAGCUUGAGUAUAUAUAUACAAGCAUUAGAGCAAGCAUAAGAUCAAGAAUAGAAGGAUUUCUUUCGAAGGCAAAAUCUUGGAGGUAUAAAGUAAUUUUCUUGUAGGACUUAAAGACAAAUAGUUUCAGGUCUACAAUUUUUCUUUUUAUCUUAAUUCAUUUAUGCUCAUAUAUUUUAUGGAUUAAUCUUUUAUACACUGACAGUUUAUACAUCAUCAUCAUCAGAUGCACGACAACUCAUCUGAAUUUAAAUUUAAAAUUCAAAUUUUAUUUAUGUGUCAUGCAUCCAAUCUUGAUAAUAUAUACACUGUCCGUGUAUAUAAGAUGUACUCAUAUUCUAUAUGCCCUCUUUAUUGACCAACGGAGAAAAAAUUGGAUUUAGAUUAUAUCCACUGGUCUAGCAGUAUUGUGAUGAAUUUGUUUGCGUGUCCAUGAUUUAAAAGAAAACAAUAGGCAAUCUCAUAGUUCGUUCGAGCCAUCUGAACUCUGAAGCAUCAUCCCCUUGUCCAUUGGUUAUUUGGUCGGUAUCUCAGAAAGAAAUAUUCCUCAUUUGAUGGUGCAGAUGACAGGAAAAUCAGCUUCCUUUUUUUUUUUUUUUUUUUGCAUUUGAUUGGUUUACAAAGCAGUCGAGAAUUUCAAACUUCUGCAUGCACUUCUUAUGCACUACUGCUAAAGUCACAUCAAGAUUUCAGGAAAAAAUUCUUGCGCACUUGGAACAAGUUUGGUACGUAGCUAGUAACAGAAGGUUAAAUCCAACACAUUUGAUUACUCAUUUGCUAUUUCUUUGAUUAGCCUCUAGGAAUGUCUCUGUUGAAUCACAAUAUCAAAUGCAGCAGCAAGGGUGAAGCAAUCUUGAACAAGUGCUCUGUCUCUUGGAUAAGAUGCUGCAACUUCUUGUUAAGGGAGCAACUUGUGAGACUGAUUCAAUAUCAACUUCUUCAAUCCUUUAUGUCAAGCAAUUUGCAGGCCCUCCCUAAUAUACUCUAGAGUUCAGCCAUAAGACUCGAAAGAUUUUCUAAUAGAAACAUGAUGGCUGCUUAUCCAUUUUCCUCGAUCAUCCCAGAAUAAGUCUAGCCUCUCUUGGGCUGCUUUAAGCAGCACCAUCCGUAUUCAAUUUCAGUGUACCUAGAGGAGAACGAGACCAAUUAACCAACGGGGGUUCAUUAAUAAAAGCAUUGGAAUGAUAGCAAAGGUUAGUUUGCUAUCCAUGUGUACUCGACAAUACUAGGAAUAACAAAGAUACAGUGCUUUAAAGGAAGGCAUGCUGGAUUUGCAUAGCUGACAUUAAAAGUCAAACCACUUGAGUUGCCCAGAUAAUCAGGAAGAGCUCUAUUGGGAUUAGGAUACGCAACUAGAGGAGACCUUUCCCAACUCUCAGUUCACUUUAGCUGUAAGGCUUCCUAUUCGGCUGAACCCUGCUCCUAUCUCUAUAUUGUGCAUAUGCCAGCCAGCGGACUAAAGUAUGAAGUAUGAACGAUGGGUACACUAGAACUAUACGAAAUACAUUUUCAGGAUAAUUCUUGCUGUUAGGUUUAAGGUUCAAAUUGUGGAACUAGCAAUUUGGAGUAGAAAGGAUAUGAAGAGGGGUGGAAGGAAAAAAAAGUAAAGAAAAAGUCAUUGAAUGUCCUAUAAAGUGCCAGUUAACAAUGAAGAACCAGGGGCGGGAACGGUUGCACUUAAGUGCAUUUUGCAUACGAUGUAACUCUGUUUGUAUAUAGUGUAAUUUACUUUCAACAACGUGUAAUUUUAGAACAAAAUUUUGUGGAUCCCACACAUGUUGUUAAAAACGAGGUACAAAAUGAGAUUUGAACCGUACAACUUUUUUUGGCCAAAUCUUGGCUGUGAACUGCUCAAUGACGAUUCGCCUGAUGACCGUUCCUGCCCCAAAUCCAACAAUGAAGGCAGGAACGGUAAAUUUAGACUUUCUAGGCUAUGAAACACGACUAGUAGUACCUAAACGUGUUCCAAGACUCUUAGGAUAUUCUAUGCCAAAGAACUCAGUAAUACCUAAACAAGACCAAUUAACUAAUGUGGGUUUCUUAAUAAAAACAUUUGAAUGAUUAGAAUUAAAAGCUUUAGAGAUCUCCCUUAGUUCUUGCAAGCAGCCUUGUUUGGAUUGCGGUUUUCCGUGAUCACAUUUUCCUAUUACCUUUUUCUCUCACAUACAUCAAAUCGCUACAGUAUUUUUUCCAUGAAAAAUCAUGAAAAAUGCAAUCCAAACACAAAGAGAGUGCUCCAAGGGAAGGCAUGUUGGAUUUGCAUGGUUGACAUUAAAAGUCAGCCACUGAAGUUGGUCUAAUUGCUGUCAGAUUUUGGGUUUAAAUUCUGGACCUAGUAGCUGAAAUGGGAAGGGUGAAGGAAAGACAUUAAAAGUCUAAAUUGCACGUUAAAAUGAAGAACCAUUGGAUCUAGUAGUCUCGGGUUAUAGGUCGAAAAUUCGAACCUCACUUACAGUGAAAAAAAUUUAAAGGAGGUGUCAAAAUACUCUUUUGGUCUAGCCAAAUCUAUAUACCUGCUAGCCACUUACACAGUCUCCCUAUAAAAUAAGUUAUACAAAGGUUAUCGUUAUCGGAAAAAAAAUUAAAAUGAUGGAUUGUCAUACAAAUGUUAUGGAAAAAAAAGUUAAAAUGAAGGAUUGUAAAUUUAGGUUGUGUUUGGAUUGCAUUUUCUGUCAUUUUUCAUGGAAAAAUUACUGUAGCGAUUUGAUAAAUGUGAGAGAAAAAGAUAAUAGAGAAAUGUGAUCACGGAAAACGACAAUAUUUUUCGACGGAAACAAGCAAUCCAAGCAUGGCCGACUUUCUAGAACAUAAAGCACAAUUAGUAGAGAACCUAAACAUGUUAUUGGACUCUGUGGAUUAUUUCAUACCAAACAACAUGUGUUGUGACCCAGGCCAGUAAUUGGCCAUGUCCAAAACAAAAACAUUAAUCAAGCCAAGUCAUAGACCAUCUACUUUUGACCCAAUCCGGCCCAUUUUUAGUCAUGCAGCUUGGAUUUGGCGGGCACUUUUUCUCAAUUGCAAGCUGCAACUCCCGCCAAAAUCCCAUAACAAUUAAACAAGAAUUCGUAAAGCAAGUUGAAUGCCUCGUUGAUUUCAAUCUAAAAUCCCUAUCUGGAAUUCGCUUCAUAACCUUCUACAAUUGGGAUUUUCAUCUUCUCAUAAAAAAAAAUCCGAUUUUUCUCCUCAAACAAGAUAAAUUUCAGCAAUAAGCAGAGGAGCUAGCUUUCAUUUUAGGGAAAAACGAAGAAAUGAGCGCUGUCAAUAUCACAGAUGUCACAGUUCUGGGUAAUCCGGCGCCAUUUUUGAACCCUCUCCAAUUUGAAAUCUCCUACGAAUGCUUGGUUCCCCUCAAAGAUGGUAACCUUUCUGUCUACCUUCCUCAAUUUCCUCACAGAUGCUUAUUUAUCUCGUUUUUUCUGUUAUUUGCAAGAUUAUUUGCUUAUUUAUGCAUUUGUGCAUUUGACGUGUUGAUAUUUGUGAAUCGAGGCUAUGUGAUGAGGUUUGAUGCCUGAAAAAGGAACCCUUUUGCAGAACCUUCAAUUGAGGCUUACUUUCCUUGAGACUGUUGAUUUUUCUUUUCAUAUCUAGUUUAGUUAUCGUAUUUAUGGUAAGAAAUUUUGUCUAAUAUGUAAUGAGACUAGCUGAACAAAUUAGAAUUUGAAUAAAUGAAGUUUAAUUGGAUUAGCUUAUCGCUUGUACCAAUUGCCAUGAUAAUGCAUUUCUUUGAAUAAUAUUUUUAGGUGCUUAUUAGCCUUUAUUCAUAUUGAGGUGGAAGUUUGCUAAGGUUUUAUCAUGUGCUAACGCUGUAAAAGGUUUCUGGAUACUAAAUAUGUUGUUAAUCAGAUUCGUAUAUAGGAAAGUUCAGGGCAUGUAAGUUAACCAGGGGUUUAAUUGCUGGUGGUUUCGUGUGCUUUCAUGAAGUCUAUUUUGUCUGAAUAUCUGUUUAACGAAGAAAACAAUCCCUAGGCUAGAGAUUGCUUGCUCUAUCUUGCAAGUGUAUGCUGACUUCGCAGGGAAACUAAUGAAUUCUUGUUGGUGAAUCCCAAGUAUGAAGAAUGUAUAAGAAUAAGCCUUGACAUGCUUUUUUAGUAGACAGCAUGUUGUCUGCUUGUCACCCAAUUUGUACUGGUUUUAUGAAAUGAGCCAAUGGAAAUAGCUAUUUCAUGUAUGGAAAGGCUUGGAAUGGGGUUCAGUGGGCUGGUAAUAAUACCGCAAAUUUUGUUUUUCGUUGCACCUUUUGUAUGAAAAUGAAAUUAUAUUAGCCCAGAUAUUCUUCAUUCAUUAGAGAGAUGCUUGUGAAGCUGUCUUAGUACUUGUCAUUGAAGUAUUACUUCAGUCAGUCAGCAAGUAGAGCUAACUCUUUCGUUACCACGUAAUCGAGGAUCUAGUGUAAAUUUCUGAUGACAGUGGAGUUAGAAGCUAUUCUUCUAUACUUAGGAGGUAUACGACCUGUUGCCAUUAUUUCUGAUGAUAUGGAGUGUGCACUUUAAUGGACGUCUGACACUCGUUAAGUUGGUUUUUUGAAUCAAGUUUGUCUGAAAUGAAUUAUUAUCGCAUUACAAAAGUGAACAGAAGUAGUUGUCUGUGUAGAGGAGAACCAAUAUAGAAUUCAAAUAUAGUGUAACUGAGGAUUUUUUUUUUUUUUGUGGUUGGUUGGGGUUUGAGGGGUUCUCUAAGGGAGUAUGCUCUCAAUACGUGAAACCAUAUGCGUGUAAGUGGUACUGUCUCAGCAGUUUGGAUACUUGGGCGAACUUCUCUUAUCUCUUUUUUUGACCUACCACGAAAAUUAUGGUUGUAAUUGCAAGAAUUAAUGUAACUAUAGUUUUCUAUCUUCUAAUUUUUGUCAACUUGUAGAUUUGGAAUGGAAGCUAACUUAUGUAGGAUCUGCUGAGGAUGAAACAUAUGACCAGCUACUAGAGAGUGCACUUGUUGGACCAAUUAAUGUUGGCAAGUAUCGAUUUGUUUUUGAGGUAACUUAAGCCCUCUCCUAGGAAGUUCAGCAGUUGACCUUUCCUCUGGAUUGCUUCUGCUUAGUUCUUACUCUGCUUCUUUUGGUUUUCCCAUUGUGUGAGACAGGCAGAUCCACCCGACCAAGCGAAAAUUCGUGAAGAGGAUAUUGUUGGUGUCACAGUAAUUCUGCUGACAUGUUCUUAUGUUGGACAAGAAUUUGUUCGAGUGGGAUAUUAUGUUAACAAUGACUAUGAUGAUGAGCAGCUAAGAGAGGAGCCACCUCAAAAGGUUUUGAUUGACAGGCUUCAAAGGAACAUUCUGGUCGACAAGCCCAGAGUUACAAAGUUUCCAAUAAAUUUUUAUCCCCAUAACGAUGAUAAUGGUGAACAGCCCCAGGAAUAUUCUACUGACACUGCUACAGGCAUUACUCAUGUGGAAGAACAAGUUUCAUCGCCUGAUCAUCACUCUGAGGUGCAACUUCCUUGAGUCCGAGCACUGAGAUUUUUGCUAGAUGUCUUCAGCAAAUGUUCAAGUUACAAAAAAUCUGGGCACAUUAGUUCUACCAUCUGAAUUUAUUGCAGGAAGAAAGCACCUGCAGUAGCUGUUCCAAGGAUUGCUAUCCAACUUGUCCUUCAUUAUUAUACUUUAAGGGUGUCCAGCGAAAUUGUUCAAUUCACCUGUCAAUUUGACAAUUUUUUUGUGGACUAUAAUGUCACAAUCUCCUUCAAGUGGGGAAUGAUGGUGGGUAUAAUCUAGCAUUUCCAUUCCCAUUAAAAAUCUCCUAGCUCAUGUCGAUCAAUCUACAAAAGUCCCAUUUAAAGUUCUCUUUUGCACAAACAACGUGUAUUUCCAUUCCCAUUCCCAUUUGAAGUUCUCUUUUGCACAAACAACGUGCAGUAACUCAGCAAAAGUAUCAAAAGGGACUCUCUUAAACUCCCAUUACUCACAGCCUUAGACUUCCUUAACGAUUUAUUAGGUUUGGCCCUAACAGCUGAAUGCAAUAUGUUCUCAUAUUUAGUUUUGAUCUUUAAAGACGAUACAAAGUGAAAAAAAAAGAAGGAAAAAAUUGAUGCUCAAAACCGUUAAGAAAAACUAGCAAUCCGACAUUGGUUAUCCCCCUCCCCCCGCCUCUUCCUUUCUUUUUUCUUUUUUCAGUUGAGGAUAAAGUAAAAUUUGUUAUAGAGUAAUUGGCGUGUUUAAAACCAUAGUUGGCCAUCAAGAGAGCCUUAAGGCUCUACUUGGAUGUAGGUCAAGGGGUCGAAUCUCUUGGUCUAUAUUCUAAAAAUUCAGGGCUUCCUGGAAUGUUUCAUCAACGGAUGCGUAGGCACCCAUCUAAACCGGUGGUGGUUCAGUCCCCCCAAAUUCCCCCCUAGUCCCGUUGGAUCAAGUCUCUCCUUAUAGUAUAGAGUAGGAAUAAGUCUAUCAUAUCCGGGGGAAAAAAAAAUUACCGUGUUGAAUUUUCCUUUUUAUGUUGGCACUGAACAACUUAUUUACAGAUGUAACUAGGUACGACCUUGUUUUCAUUAAUCUUUAGAAUGGUAGAUAGCUUAGAUUGAUUUUCCAAAGAAUUAUGAGGAAAUUAUCUACACAAUUUUUCUCUUAAUUUUUUGACAAAAGCCAUUGUGUAAGAUUAAUCUAACAUACACACACAAAAAGAAAAGAAAGAUUAUUCUAACACAAAUUAAAAUUAGGAUACAUUUUCUAAUUGAUUACAAUUUUCAAGAACUUAUUAAUUGCCUCACAUGUUUGACACUUUAUAAUGCAUUCCAAAUUUAUUUUGCAUUUUUGGUUCAUGAUUAAUUGUACUAAUCGUAUGAGAGUGAAUAAAUUAGUGGCAUGGUCUUUACCAUAUACAACAUCUUGUCACGUUUUGGUAUCUAGCGCUUAUUACCAGAGACUUAUCCUAUAUUCCUAUGCCAACCAGGAUUUAGAAACUUACCAUAUAGGAAACCAGGCACUAUAUAUAUGUAUAUGUAUAUAUAUAAACCAUGUAUAGGCUCUCACCAUUCAUUUGUUCUUUCGUUUCUUUUAGAUAGUGUUUGGUUGUGGCUCCCACCAUUUAUUUGUUCUUUCGUUUCUUUUAGAUAGUGUUUAGUUGCAAGGAAAGUGAAGCAUUGUUUAAACUUCUUGGAUAGAUACUAUGGAAGUACUAGUGCAUUGAUUAGAGACUAAUACAUUGAAAUAAAAAAAUACAUUCAUUUGCUAAAAUAUUAACUAAAAGGAGCAUAAAAAAUAAGUAAUAACAUAUUUAAUUGCACAAUUAUUUCAAAAAAAAAAUAAAAAACUAACAUGAAAAUAAAGUUGAAUGCAUUGACGUUUAUGCUAUUGCAUCUAAGUAAUUUAUUCAAAGUCAAACCCUAAAAAUAAAGAAAACACAAAAAUACAUCACUGUCAAUAAACUAAAAAUUAUUUUUUUAUUAAUGAAUUGGAAAUUCUUAUUAGUUACUAUCCUAAUGAGACUCAGACUUUCAUAAGGAAUUUAAGAAAUCCUCCCUGUAGUUGUCAUCAUCAAUUCAUCAUCAACCCUGUUUGAACCGCCAAUGUUAUAAUGCCUCUUUAAAUAUAUAAUUAUCUUAUCAGGUGGAUAAGUUAAAAAUAUCUUUGCUUUAGUCUCAUCCGUCACAAGAUUCUCAAAAAUUUCGUAAACACAAUUUUCAUUCAAACCUUCGAUCAACUGCCUUUAUGUCAUUAAGCAAAGUAGAUGGAUUGAUAAAUGCUUGUUCAUUUUUUCUAUCAAUUGCUUCUGCCAUUUGCUUGAUACUUGAUAAAACUGUAUUCAUGGUCUGAAUGUAGGUUUUGACAUUUUUUGCACAAUAAGUUUCAUCCUUAUCAGUUGUGUUUGAGGAUAAAGCGCCCCUUAACAGCAAUUUGUUGGGGAGUUUCCUUAAUUUGACUGUUAUAUUCACCUUCAUCUACUUCCACCACAUCUUCCAACUCAUUUUCAUCUAUGGUUCCAUUCUUUCUCAUUUGUUUUGCAUUGAUAUCAGGACCGCCACGAUAUCAUUCACCAGUUGCUGCAUCACUUCCACAAACGAUUCCCAAUUCUUCAAGCAUUUCAAUGCAUUUAUGUCUUAAAUUUUUUACUCUUGGGCGUGCCUAUAAAAAGAAUAUAUAAAAUUAUGUAAACUUUAAGAAUAAUUUUAAUAAAUAAACAUAACUAGAAUAUAUAGAAUAUGAGUUACCUUUACAUAUGUUUCCCAUACUUCAUCUGUGCAUUCCACUUUCUUCGUUGUGGAAUUAAAAAUAAAUCCGCUUUGAGACAACAUUUGCUCAAUGUCUCUAUAACCCCUUUUGAUUGUUUUCAUACAAUUUAUCACAUUAUUCUUGUUGACUUCAAUAUUAAAUUCUUUUUUCAAAGCUUUAGCCGGCAGCAACAUAUGCUACAUAUUUGAAUCUUUUAUUGCAUGACUUAUUUCCUUCGUGGCAUUGAAUGGCAAGACCGUCCACCAAGCUUUUAUCCAUUUCAGCAGUUCAUAUUCAAUUUUUUUGCUUGUCUUAAUGUGAUUGAGUAGCAUUAUUAAAUUGUUCCAUAGUUAUUCAAAAAAAUUUAUCCGUUGAGAUUUUCCCAUGACUUGUUUUUCCCAUGAUUUUUGCUGGAUGAGUUUUGCUGGAUGAGUUUUGCUAGAAACUUGGUAGUCAUGGGAAAAUUUGUUCUUAUGGAUCCUACUGCUUUCUUGUCAAACAAACGGGAAAAAAUUGCAAGAAUCAUAUCUUCCCUCACUUUUCCUGUAACAUUCCUGUCAACCAAACACAACAAUUCAAAUUUUCCUAGACUAUUUUCUUGUCUAUCAAACACAUAUAGAAAACUUAGUUUCCUUUUUCUUUACAUCACUUUACUUUACUUUUCUCGCGACGUACUUUUUUGCACAACUUUCUUGUCAAACAAACAGAGCGUUAAUGUUAAUUGACAUAGGAGUUUUUUGCUAAAGUAAUUCAGUUCUAGAAAAAUAUUCCCAAGAUAACACAAUUGAAAUAAUAUACCGUUUCUAAUGUAUUUGAUGCUACAUGGAUUUCUAGUGCAAAAUAUUGAAUCAAAUUUCUACUUCUACAACUACACGAUACCCAUCUUUAUUCUAUACUCUUUUCUUUUUUUUUUUCAGCAUUAUAGGAGAAAUUUUAUUAAAUGUGCUGCACUGAAUCUACUUAAAAAUAAUGAUAAUCAUUCCAAACUUCAUUGUUACAAAUUAGUGUUCUUUAUAUAGAAUUUUAAUGGGGUAAAUUAUUUGCCUUUGUUUUACUAUUGGUAAUAGGAUGAUUAUUUUUUAAGCAAAAAAAAGAUUUUGAAAUUGGGCAUGCAUUUUCCUCUUCUUUUGUUAUCAAGGUGGUAUCUAUUAUUGUAUGACCAUACAAAUUAUUUCAAGCAUUUUGGUUGUCUUGAUAUUUUUGUCUAAAUUUAAUGCACCACUGAUCAAGCACUCAAGACAUGGUUUUCAAUUUUUUUCCAAUAUUAUCCCCAUAAAAAUUCCCAUAUAUCGGUUUCUAGCUUUUGAGUUGACAUUUUCCUUUUUUUUUCUUCCCUUCCUACAAAGAUAUAUCCUUUUUUUCCUCCCUUCCUACAAAGAUAUAUCCUUGUACAAUCAAUUGUUGUCAAGUGACUUUUUCCUUUUUUUAGUCCUUCCAUUCUUAGUGAGAUAUACCUACAUAGAAUAAAUUUUUAUUGGUGUUUUGUUCCAUAUUACUUUGUAAGAAGAUUUAUAGUUAUUUAAUCAGGAUUAGAAGUGACUAAGAAAAGGUAAAGUAUUAUAUUAAGAAAAGAUUGGAAGCCUUUUGAAAAGGGAAAAUAAAGGAAAGUUUGAAAAGUCUUAUGUAGAUUAUACAAGUUAUUAUAAAGGGAAUAUGUUUUAAAAGUGUAUUAUUAUGGGAAUAAUUUUUAAAAACAAAGUUAUUUUAGUAAUCCUAAGACCAAUAGGAUUUGAAAACUUACCAGAAACCGGGAGUUACAAGUUACAACUAUAUAUGGGUUACAACUAUGUAUCGUAAGCAUCCCCAUUCUUUUCUUUUCUAUAUUUUUGUGGAUUAUUUUGAAGUUAUAUAGGGAGAGAAUCAUGGAGGGAAAGCUGAUUGUAGUUAGAAAGUUGUAUGCAUACAAUUUAAGGGCAGACUUUUCCAUCAUUGAGCAAAAUCUUGCAACUUAUCGCUUCAUAGCGGUAGAUACAGAGUUUCCAGGAACAAUAUUUCGCAGCCAAGAACCUUAUCACCAGCUCUCACCUGAAGAAAAUUACCAGUUGAUGAAAGAGAAUGUCAACAGUCUAAAACUUACUCAGUUGGGCCUUACGCUAUCAGACUCGAGUGGCAAGCUUCCUAAUUUGGUUACUGAUAGUUAUUUCAUAUGGGAAUUUCAAUCUUUUGAAAGCACAUGAAAUUGAUUUUGUCAAGAAUUUGGUUCAUGGUAUCAGUUUUGUAGAUUUUGCCAAGUUUUUUUAUGGAAUCAGGGUUGGGAUUUUCUUUAAGAUCAUUCACAGGGUGCAAAAGAGAGUAUGAUCCUCGCAAACUAACGUGGGUGUUCUUUCAUAGCACGUAUGACGUGGGCUACCUUAUCAAAGUUCUAACUCAGCAAGAUUUGUCGAAAAAUCACGUUAGAUUCAUGGCCUUAGUGAUGAUCUAUCUUGGGACUUUAGUUUUUUAUGUCAAGGAAAUUGUUAAACCAUUGGGCUGGCAAGUUGACCUAGAGAAAGUGGCAGCGUAUUUGGGGGUUAAUCGAGUGCAAUGAAAUUUAUGAAUCUUAAAUGCUGAUAAAAGUGAUAUUCAUAUACUAAUAACUAAAAGCAGUUUCUUUUUUUUUUUUCGGGAGGGGACUCAAUCUAUAAAACUGAAUGUUCGAUAGAUUUGUUCAAGUAACCAGUAAUCAAUCUGUUGAUGCUUACCUUCCUUUUAUCGUUCCUCAAAUUUCAGACGUGGACUGCCACUUGAUAAGAAAGUUGAAGCAGGAGAACAAAAAAACUGAAAACGGGCUUCCUUUGUCGCAGUGAAGCAAGUGCCAUCUGAUAAUUACAGUUCUAGAAGUAAUUAGGGAUUCUUUUACUAACUUCCUUUUGUUCUGGUGAUUAUUCCUCUGGUAUGCUGCAACUUUGAAUUCUAUUCACUGCCAUUCUUGCCUACAGACCAGACAAAAAGGGGAAAAGGAGAAAAAAUGUCAUUAAGUUAAGAAGUAAAUAGGCAAGUCCCUGUGACAUAACAACACAAUUAAGUUAAUGCAGGAGACAAGACUGACAUAGUGCCUCUUGAUGAAGAUCAUUUCGAGUAUGUUAAGCAAAAGUACCAAGUCCUUUACCCAAUGACCAUACUCAAAAUACUCUGGUAAAGUAGACUAGUAUGACACAGGUCCUACUACUAAGUGUCCCUCGAAAUUCUUACUUUUUGCCACAAUUAUCAAACCAUUCCUUUCCCUUUCCUGUUUCCAACCUGUCCAGAAUUUCCUGAUUUCCACCCUACCAAUCUCUCAAAGCAUGAAGAUUGCAUCCUUCCCAGCUAAGCUUCCAAUAUGAGCCUUGGUCUGACUCCCACCCUCCCAGAAUGGCUCAAUAAUCCAAAUACACCAAUCCUCUAUUAAUGGACACCUCCAGGCUAGACUGACUGAUCCCUUACCACAACUUCUGAUCCCACUUCAUCCACUGAUCAUCUCUGUUGAGGGUUUGACAGCAGUCAUAGCUGAGGUUGAAAUCACCCCUCCUAAGUCCUAUCCCUCAUCAUGUUCCUCUUAAUCCAUCCAGCAUGAUCCUUGCCACACCCUCUUCCCCAUCCCUCAAUGUGGGUAACUUGUGAUUAUCAAUCAACAAAACUCCUCAGCUUUUUGUGGGAGACAAAAUUUGUCUAAAGAACGCAAACUUGACCAAUGUUAACUUUGUGAAACGUGUUGAAUAUUGGCUAAAAGUUAACUAUUUGCCAAAACAGUUAUGAAAUUCACAAAACUGAAAUCAGUUUGUAUACUAAUUUAAGUUGGAUUUUAUUGCAUAUAGAAUAAACAUUUAGUUACAAGUUACUCCACCUAAUUUGGUCAUUAUCCAAAAAGAAAUACUUGUUAUGCCAAAGUAAAUGUCUGCCAAAGGCAUACCUCAUUAUCCCAAUCAGUGCACAGGUUUACUGUAACAAGUGCUACAACUUGCACUGAAAGGCCACAUAUGAUUCCCAUCCAAAGUCCCUGUAGGCAGUUAAAACUUGAAAGUGUCAAUCGUCAAAGGCACAAAAUUUUCAACAUCCACUGAUAGGAGUGGGUGGGGGAAGGGGAUACCAUGCCUCCAAUGUGGAAGAAGAAAGCAAGCAGAACAGCUGAAGGUAUUCCUACAAUAUAAUAAGCUCCAAGGUUGAUAAAUGCACAGAGGUUUUGCCAUCCACAUCCUCUUGCAGCCCCUAGAAGUAAUUGGCAAACAUCAAAGAAACAUUCUGGAGAUUGCCACAGCAGGCAAUGAAAAAGAAAUUCCAAGAUAUGCUUUUACGGUAAGAACAAAACUUAGCAACCUGAUAAGACACAUUGGAAUCCAUCAAAGAAGUCAGAUAGUGCAAGAAGAGGCAACAUCUUAGCCACAUAUCUAACCACCUCUUCUUCAUUGCUAUAGAGCUUUCCCCAUAUAUGCCGAACCAGAAUGGUUGUUGUUCCAACAAUUGCGCCCUCUGUAAGGGCCACUAUGACUACCACACCCAAUGCUAAGCGCGCGCCUUGUGGAUUUCCAGCGCCCAAUUCAUUUGAAACUCUCGUACUAAAAUGAUUACAGGGUAAAAUCAUUUUCAACCAGCUAAAUGCAUGGAAAACAGUAAUCAAGAAAAAUAGUUCGAUCCUUGAGGUAUCCGUUAAUUAAUGUCAUUGUUAAAACUUUUUUUUCUUCUGUCAUUGUUAAAGCUUAAAAGCAUCAUAAGAACUUUGAUUGGGUUUACUAACCUUAUGGCAGCACCAAGACCGACAGAGAUCAUAUAGACCAUCCAACAUGUAUUGAGGCUGUCAGAACAAGAAAAAACAACUGAUGUAAUCAGAAAAGACUAGUAUAUAACGUCUUUCAAGUGCGCCUGAAGCUUUAUUUAUGUGAGCUAGUAUAACAUCUUUCAAGUGCUGUAAUCUGAUAUAUUAAGUUCAGUAAUAGAGACAAACCUGAUAGAUAGGACUGAUGUUUCUAGUUUUGGAUUUGGCAAAAGACCAGAUAAUAGAACAACCAUCUCAAAUGACCAAUACUCCAAACUGUGGCUCAAACAAAUAAUGAUAAAUUGUCAACUAAAGAAAAAUGUUGGGCGAUACAUGAUAGAAUAACCAAAAAAGAAGGUGGGGAACAAAAAACAUGCAUCCAUUGUUCCUUGAUCUGUACACAUGCUUCGUGGAAGGUCCUUUCGGAGAUGCAUAAAAGCUUCUCACCAAACAGUGCUAUACAUGCUUCAGUAUGACAAUAUCCUCUGUUUUUAGGUUAGGUGCCAAUACCAUACAACUUACCAAAUCAUGAUAGCUGAAGGAAUUGCAAGUUUUAUAAAACUGACGAUACCAAGCAAGGCCUCUUGAGAGAAGCCAGUCCAAGUACUUGAGCAAGCUGGUGAAAACUUGAUGUACACCGUCAGCAAAAACACAUUAACCCAAUAUGAUAUGCCAUUUGCAAGAGCAGCUCCUCUGUUUCCAAAUCCAGUUUUGAACACAAGAAACCAGCAUAAAAGAACAUGAAAUAACGCUGUAAUGCCAGAGCUCAUCAUCAUAGGAAACACAAUAUUUUGAGUCUGUAAAAAUCUGUUGAUGCAUUGAAGGAGGGCAUAGGCAAAAAGGCCUGGUAUCAUUGACCGAUUAAAUUUCCCAGCUUCAAUAGAUAUCUCCUGAUCUUGACCAAGAACUAUUAGAAUGUGGUCUGUGUAGAACCAAAUCAAUGCAAGGAAAAUGCUUAACACUAGAAGAACUAUCAUCCCUCGCUGCGUAUAGAUGCCAAGCAUGCGAUACUGUUUGGCUCCAUAAGCUUGUCCACAUAGCGUUUCCAGUGCACUUCCCAUUCCUAACUAUCAAAACAUUGUUAGAAUACAAGAUUCCGAGCUAGUGAACACUGAGAUAAAUCGAAAAAGUUUCUGGGCUUUCAACUAGAGACAACAAAAACCAUGUAGUAUGUCAUAACAUAUAUAGCAACUAUGCUUUACGUGACAUACUGCCUACGAAAUUUGAUCCUUGACAAGGCUAUAAUUAUACUUUUACUGACUAAAGUUGUACUUAUUGGAAUAGUACAUUGAAUUAAGGAGUUUAAUAUCUUCAUUCAAGAGAGAAGGGGGGGGGGGGUGUGUGUGGGGGUGCACAAUACUCUCUUCAGUGCAACUAUGCAAGUUAUGGGUGGAGAAAGUUGCUUUCUGCAGUGGAGCAAAACAUGAAGCUAAUUUUCAUCUAUUAGUAACAAACUAUAAUAUUCCUUAAAAAUCCCUCUUGAUUUCUUCUUUAAAUCAGGUUCUGAUAUCAAAACCAAAGAUCGGCAAUUCUGGAAGUACAUGAUUAGGGACAUGGGCAUCAAUGCAUUACAUGCCAAUGAAUCUACAAAUCGAUGAUUAUGGCCAUGACACCUUCCUAUGACUUAUCCACGAGGCUGGCAUAGCGGCAUUCGAACUGCCAAUUUCAUGUUUAAAAUAGCUAUCUGCUACUAAGCUGCUAUCUUUACUUAACAUGAUGAUUAAACAAGGAAUACUUUAGUCAUGACUUCAAAUUGAAUCGCAAGGCUGAUGGAAUUUGAAGCAAAAGACAGACGAAUAAAGCCAGAUAAUAGAAUUUACUGUUUCUUUUGUAACUAACUAUAAUAUCUAAGUUAAAGAAGACAUAAAUCAUCACCAAUUUUGUUAUUUUCUUGAUAAUCUUUGAGCUGAACUAAAAACAAAAUAAAGGGUAAUAAAUGAAAAAAAGAUUUGGAAGGGACAUAGACUUACCAAUACGUUGAAUCCAGUGACUGAAGCGAAGGAAGUAGCCAUCGAAGUACUUGAAAGAGGCAGCUCCCCAAGAUGGCCGACAAACAUGAUCGAAAUAAUUUGUAAACAGUACUGCAGAAUGCUCACUGCAAUCAGAGGCAGUGCUAGUCCUAGCUGCCUCUUUACUUCUUCAAUAAUCUCCCCUCUAUAACAACCUUGUUCAGAUACCUCUCUAUCAAUCCAGUGGCUUCUGCCUUGGCUUGGGAUCAAAGGGGCUACAGGGCUCGAGUCAUAUCUGUCCAUUCUCCUUCUUUUCCCAAUCAAUAAUGUUCUUCAGUCAAGAUUCUCUCUCUCUUUAACUGCUUUUGCAAGUCUUUUAUCAAUUUAUGAUGAGAUAAUCAUAUUUCAAGUAUUAAUUGGUUUAUUAUUAAGGCAGUGGCUCCCACUUAAGUAUAAAAUGUAAUCCAGCAAUGCUACUGAAGAAUAUUAGGAACUACAGCUGGGAAGAUUUAGACAGCAAGAUUACGAAAAUCUUAGCCUACAAAUGGUGAAAAAAAAGAAAAAAAGAAGCACUGAUUGAAUAUUUGUCAGAUUGACAUUUUGCAUAUAGUAAUCUUCACUGCAAGAUAUCAUUGUAAUAAGAGUACGAAAAUAUGAAAAGAUUCAAGGUGAUUCACUCUGAUCAACCAAUCAUCGGGAAGGAUAACUCUUUCGCCAACUCCAGUGGAAUUCGUCCUUUACUUUUUGGCAUUUUCUGCUGGACAUGCCACUUGUCGGUUGAUUCGGCCAUACGAAAGCCUAAUGUUGUCUUGUCAAGAAUUAAUAAUUAUGACCCUUUGAGGAUGUUCAAGGCUAAUGCUUGAGUUACAUUCAUUACCCUUUAAAAUAAUUCGUCUUGUCAAUCAUGGAGAUACAUGUAGUUUAAACAAUUGGGGUAAUACUACUUGUCUCUGUCACCAUGAAUGCAGAAAAUGUCAAUAUAUGGAUUGCCUUGGAUUGGAUGAGACAAACUGUUUCUUUAGCGGACUGCGUCCCAUCCGCAGAAAAGAGUAUCGCCUGUGCAUUUUGAUUUGGAUGGUCAAGUGAACAGCAAAUUUUGAUUUCUAUUAAAAGGAAGAGCCCAAGUGUUUGAUGAUACUUCCAAGUUUCAGAGAAAUGACAACAAAUCCACAUAAUAAAGUAUAACAGGAAGUGGCCCAGCCCCCUUCUUUCCUCCUUAAUUUAAUUCUUAUGACCUGGAAGAGUUCUUUACAUCGAUUGAUAUUAUUGUUCUAUAACCAGUGCACCAAACUUGAAAAACUAGCGUAAUAAACAUGAAAAAGUAUAACUGGAGACAUCACAUAAUUCUAGCAAUUAAUUGUACUUAUAUGAGAAGAGAACAUUACUGAUGACAUUAGGAUGAAUUCUUUAAUACAUCUAUACACAUGUACUGCAUCAAAUGUAACUUGCAUAUGCUGAUCUCUAGCCAAGUUACAGUGUUGAUACAUUUCAAGUAGAAAAGCUUAUCCAUACGUCGUUGAGCAAGUUUUGAGAUGAAAAGUUCAAUCAAAGCACAUGAAAUAGGCAUGCAAAUGACAUAAAAUCUCACUGACUAUCCAUUCACAAUUCAAAUUGCAGAAAGCUAUUUGAGACAGUGGAACAAAAUAGCGCUCCGGUCAUUAAUGCAAUGAGAGAUUGACAUGAAAAUGGAGCAUAGAGAUGAAAGAAAGAAAAAGGAAGACGGAAUUUCUUGGUUUAGAUGGUAAAAACUGAAGACAGAGGCUAUCUAGUUUAUCCUAGAGUCCUGUGAUCUUCUCAUCAUUGUUUCACCACAAAAUAGCGAUGACGGGAGGGCCCUCCAAUGUGAUCACUGACAAUGCAGCAAACAAGCUGAAUGCUCCGUGUUUAGCCAAAUGAUCAACGCAUUGGUUUGCCACUUUAAAGAUGUAUUUUAUCUGGUUUUAAGAAAUCUGCUGACUCAAUGCCUGCUGUCACCAAGAAUGGUAUAAAGCACAAGAGAGUCUGAAUUUAUUUCCUCGAAACAAAUCGGUAAUAAUCUGUGAUACAGAUUCAGCAAUGAGACGUGAGAAUCUUUUCUGCAAAGCAAUCAUUAAUCCAUCUCUUAUCGGCCAAACUUCAGUUGUGUUUAUUGUUGCAGAGCCACUAUGUCUGCUGAAACCAAGAAUUCAUUCCCCUGUGCGAAAAACUCCCUCAGCACCUGCUAGACUUGUACACAUCCAACAGCUCAAAGAUCAGUCAGAUGUUGGUAUGGCAAGGAAUCACUCGGAACAACUGCAAGCAUUAUUAGAGAAAGGAAGACUGGAGAUUCAUUGCAAGAUCAGGCAGAAGCAGUGAAGAUGGCUAUGACAAAAGCAGCCAACCAAGGCUAGAGUAGAGGAACAUCCUAAUUGAGAUUGAAAACAAGAAAUUAUUAGGGUACAUUCAGAGAUUAGGCCACAAAGGCAGUCGAAUACCAACAGUUAUAGAUGACAUACAGUCCCUCAGUAGAUUGUUUUUACAGUGCUCUUUUUCUUUUGUUAACAUAGAAAAGACUGAUAGCAUUAUUCAGCUUAGCAAAUAUGCUCUUAGCAUUUGGAUAGAUAAAGAAUGGGUGAACCCUAAUCUUCGGUGCUAAUGCAUCGGUAUAGAUGAUAGGACCUUUGUCCUUUUCGCUUGGACCUUUGUCCAGGUACUCCACAUUUUUGCAAAAAAGAAAAAACUGCUAGACUUGUACUACGAAUGAAAGAAUCAUCUAAUAUUUGACCAUUAUGAAAGGGGCCGGCCGGGAGGAUACAAUAUAAUCAGUCUGUCAUCACUCGUUACAGAGGUAGAACUGUUACAACACAAAGAAUAAAAGGGAUAAUUUCAAAAACCUCCCCUAAGGUUUCUGACUAUUUCACUGGCCUCCUCCCAGGUUUCAAAAAUUAUACUAAUCUCCCUUGAGGUUAAUUAUCUCGUAACAUUUAGAUUCAAUCAAUAAUUAAAAAAUGAUAUUAGAAGAGAGAAAAUAAUAUGAUUUCAUCAUUGCCCUCUCGUCUAUUAUAUUAUUUAAUUAAUUUAAUACAACCCACACAUUAAAAAAAAUACAAAAAUUUGCUACUUAUCAUUAGGAAUCAAAUCAUAUAUAGCAACAAAAUAUAGUAUACCAAUUUAUAUUUUUCACUUAAUACAAGAUCUAAAUUAUUUUUUUUUGUUACAUACCCAUUGUCAAAUAUGAUCAAUAAUAAAUAAUAAAAAAAUUUGCAAUCAAAAUAUUUUACAGAACAAAAUUUAACAUUAUAAUAUUCUUGUCAAUAUAUUAAAAUUAGUUGUUGAGAUUUUUAUGAUAUUAAUGUUUGCUUUUUAUAAUAUUUUGAUUACAUAUUUUUUUAUUAUUUGUUAUUGAUCAUGUUUGACAGUGAGUUUGUAACUGAAAAAACAAUUUGAAUCUUACAUUAAGUGAAAUAUGUAGAAUAAUAUGCUCUUUUUGAUGCCGUACAUGAUUUAAUCUUCCAUGAUAAAUAAUAAAUUCUAGUGUGUUAUUUAAUAUUUGGACUAGUAUUAGAUUAAUUAAAUAAUUUAGUAGACAGGGGGUAAUAGUGAUAUCAUAUUAUUUUUCUCUCCUAAUAUCACUUUUUAAUUAAUGAUUGAUUCUAGAUAUUACAACAUAAUAUUUCGUAAAGGAGGUCAGUAUAAAUUUCAAAAUCUUAAGAAAAGCCAGUGAAAUAUUCAGAAAUCUCCUUUGAGGUUUCUGAAAUUAUCCCAUAAUAAAAUCGAGCGGGGGUGCAGCAUUGAUGUAGAAGUCAACCUAAGUUCUUAGGUCCGUUUUGGUUAUCAUAAAGAUAUUUGUUGCAAACACACAAGAAAUGUGUUUUCGAUGGUAUAUGAAACAAAUAAGGAGCAUAAAAUUCCAACAACCUAAACAUUGGAUGAGGAUCAUUAAUGGAGAAAGAGACGGAUAGCCGCACGACCUCAACUUUAGGGCAUUUGGAUUUGGGGUAGGAACCCUUGCCUCCCACCCCCACCCCACCAAAGCCUUGCCUCCCACCCCCACCCCACCAAAGCCUUAAAGGCUUAAAGGUUCCUAUCCCAAAUCCAAAUGCCCUAAAGUUGAGGUCGUGUGGCUAUCCAUCUCUUUCUCCAUUAAACUUUGCCUCCCACCAAUUUGUCACAAUUGUGGUUCUUCAAAAAAAAUCUAGGCACCCGUCUGGUCCGGUGAUGGUUCUGUCCCCAUCGGCCUCCCAUAGGUCCAGUUGGGUCUCCUCCUAGUUGAAAUAGAAAUAGGGUUGACGAUUGACAAAAAAAAAAAAAAAAAGGAUUUGGGGUAGGAAAAGUCAACAAAGAAAUCAUCCGGUCCGAUUUAUGUAUUUUGCAUAAGAUGUAAUUCAAUUUACACAUAAUAUAACUCAUUUUACACAACGCAUGACUACAUAACAAAAUUUUAUGGGCCACACACAUAGUGUAAAAAAUGACGUAUAAGAUGAAAUUUAGACCUUAUAUUUUUUUUGCCCAAAUCUUGGCCAUUAACUUUUCAGAAUAGUUGCAGGAACCGUUCCCGCCCCAAAUCCAAGGCCUUUAGGAUUUGGGAUAGGAACGGUCAACAAAGAAAUUAUAUGAAUCAGUUUUGUGCAUUUUACAUAAGAUGUAAUUCAGUUUGCACAUGAUAUAACUCACUUUGCACAAUGUGUAACUAUAGAAUAAAAUUUUAUGGGUCUCACACAUGAUAUGAAAAAUGAUAUAUAAGAUCAAAUCUGAACCUUACAUUUUUUUUUUGACAAAAUCUUGACCAUCAACCUUCCGGAACCGGGCGUUUACCAUCCGACAACAUGAUCAAGAGUCUUUAACAAGAGCCCCACAAGAAAUGGUCAUGAAUCAUUUUCCUCCUUAAUACAAGGUCCUGGACGCAAAUCUAUUCUGGCAACAUUACCACAAAAAAUUGAUACUAUGAUCUCAGAACAGGCUUUGGCUUUCCUGACCCAAACAAUACAAUAUCCUUUUUAUAGGGUGUGUUUUGAUAUCAAAUUAUUCAGAAUAAUAUUUUUAAUAACAUUUUAAACACAUUUUUCAAUUAUUCUUUUUAUAUUUUUAAUUACCUCUUUACAUGACAUAUAUAAUAUCACAAAAAACAUUUUACAUGAUAAUUCUAAAAAAAAAAUUCAAAUAAUCUUCAACCCAAACUUGUUACUUUGGGAUGAAGGGAAGGCGCUGAAGGCUAAGGCUUUAUUUGGAUUGCAUUUUUCUAAUUUUUUGUAGAAAAAUUAAUCUAGCGAUUUGAUAUAUAAAAAGAUGAUUGAAAAAUGUGUCCAUGAAAAAUAUAGCAAUUUAUCUUUAAAAAAUUGCAAUCCAAACGGACCCUUGGUUACAGUCUUUAACAGUUUCAGGAUUGGUAGAGGUCCAAAAAGAGGGUUACCCUAGCCUGAAACAUCGUGUCAGAGCUAUAUACUCCUAAGUACAAUUUAACUAUUUUGUAGUCUCUCUGUUUCAUUCUGUCAUUCGUUGCCCCAUUUAACGAGGGCUGGCUCUGGAGCUGAAGAAAGCUCUGAAACAGUGAAACUAUACACAUACACCUAGAAAAUGGAAGAAGGGUUGUUGGUGAAAGAGAGAGAAGUGAAGAGGGAAAGGCUGACAUGGGGUGUUAUAGGCCAAGAAGCGAAGAGACUUUGCUACAUAGCAGGACCUAUGGCGGCUGUGACUCUAUCCCAGUUCUUGCUCCCGAUGAUAUCUUUGAUGAUGGUUGGGCACUUGGGUGAACUCUCACUUUCUAGCUCCUCCAUAGCCAUUUCCUUUUGCAAUGUUAUUGGCUUCAGCGUUCUUGUAAGUUCCUUCUCUUUUGUUCCUCUUCCAGGCUUUUACUGACGUUUUCUUGCAAAUAUUUUUAAGCUUUAGGAGAGACAUUGAAAACUUACAUGCGACCACUGUGUGACGUUCCUGUUUUGUUUUCUGUCACUGUAAAUGGCCAAAAAAGUCUCCAAACUUUUUGAAAUUCUUAACCCUUUUUCUGCCCAAAAAAAAAUCACUCAUCUUCUCAAAACCAUCCUUUUAGGUCAUUCCGACGAGUUUAGCUCUUAAUGUGACCGGAAACAAGUAAAUGACCUGUGAAUGUAGAUUGCUCAAAACAAUUGCUUUCUUCGGCUUCUUCUUAUAAGCAGUUUAUCUCACUUUUAGUACUCACAGCCUCUUUCUUUGGAGCAACGGCUUUUUUGGCUUCUUCUCACCAGCGACAACAAUGGCAAUAGUAGUCUUCACAGGAGCAGGCUGCUUGAACGAAUUAUUCACCUUAAAAAUAGUUUUUCCGAUGCCAGAUGCCUUUUCAACUAAACCGACAAAAGCUACUUGAAAUUUGCCAGCAACUUCUGCUUCUUUUUAUGAAAUUUGCGGACAAUCGUGUAGGGACCCGAUCUAGCUAUGCCUCCUUAAUUGCAAUAAUUGCCUCCUUAAUCAUCUGAAAAUCGGCCAUGGAUGAAAAUUGAAAAUCGGCAUUGCUGAAAUUGAAGAUCGAAAUUUGGAUCAGAUUCAAUCGCGACCUUGUUGCGACCAAAUUUGACAUGAAGGAGAUGGGUGGAAGUGCUGGAGUGGGAGAGGAAGAAGGAGGAGGGGUUGGGGGAAAAGGAGGGGAAGGGGGCCCAGUGGAGAUGGGGAGGGGAGUGACGGUGGAGGAGGGGGUAGAAUGGGAAGAGAGAGAGAGGGAGAGAGGUUGCUGUUGUGGGAGAGUACGGCGGUGGAGGUUGGGAGGGGAGUGAUGGUGAAGGAGGGGAUGCUGGGUUGGGUGCCGGGAAGGUGGUGGCGGAGGAAGAAGAGGUGGUGGUGUUGGUUUGGUUUUUCGGGUUUAAUUACAUUUAGCUCCUUUUAGCUUGAUCAAAAUACAAAUUAGUCUUGAAGUUUGAGGUGUUUUUGUGAAAAAGUUGGGGUAAUUAUUUUUAGACAUUUUUGUACUUGAAAAUCUACACUAACUGGUUAAAUCGCUAAUUUCUGGUUGGAUUAAGUGUUAAACUCGCCGAAAUAAUCCAAGAGGCUCAUUUUAAAGAGAUGAGUGACUUUUUUGGCAAAAAAAAAAAGUUAAGUGAUCAAACGGUGCAAUAUUAAGUAGUUUGGUGACAAUUUUUGUCAUUUACUCUUUGUCUGCUUCAUCAACUUUAGUGGAGGAAGAAGCGAAUCGAUGUUAUCAAAUCGUCCUGAAAUUGAACUCUUCAGAUUGUACGCAUAGAAGUCUUGACAAAAUCUGACUUGUAUGGAUAAAAGACUUAAAUCCAGUUCCAACCUUGCCAUCAAGAUUUGACUUCAUAAUCAUGAACUUCUUUGUUUUCUUCAUUCCUCUCCCUUUGCCUGGAUUUCUGAGAUUUUGCUAUGAUAUUUAAUGUUCUAAUGUUUGUGUGAUCAAUGAUCAGUGAAAGGAUAUGUUUGAUUUUGCUACCAUACUACAAUGAAUGUCUCUAUCAAAAUUAAUAAGGCAUUGUUUUUCCUCGGUGAUAAUUAAUGCAGACAUGAAUAGGAGGAAAGGCAGAAAAGUUUUGAGUACGGCCAUUUAUUAUACUCUGCAAUUGCCUCUGCCAACUGCAAAGGUUCUUGAUUAAUUUUUACUUUGGGUAACAUAUAUUUUUCGUUUCUUUUUCAUUUUGUUCGUUUCUUGAGGAGGAGGAGGAGGAGAGAGGAUGCAUCAAGAAUUUUGAACUCAUUGAUAGAGCUUAUGGAAAAUUCAAUUAUUGCUAAUUCGAGUGUCACCAAAGGAAAUAUUUCUGUCAUGCUAAUAAGGACAAAAGCUGAACCUCCAUUAGUACAGCAGAGGGUCCAGAAGACAAAACUUCAACUGAAGAUAUAUUAUGUUUCCAUAGCAUGAGCCAAAGAGCUUUGCUCAAGCAGAUGUCUUUGUCGUUCAUUAAUUUAUUUCUUGGCAAAGGUCCAACAAUGACCAAAGCCUUUAGGGAAUGGGAAUUGUCAAAUUUAGCGUCUCAUAGAUAGGGACCACGAGAUAUCAGGAAUUACACAUGUCCCUCAUAAUCCAAAUUCCAAAGGUUUUUUGAUAAGAGGGAAGGACAACGAUAUGCUGUAAAAAGGAAGUAGAGAAAAUUGAAAAAAGAAAAUUCCCUUUUGAUUCUUCUUCUUCAUUUACAUUUUCUGCUGGAGGAUGGGUUUUUGUCACUACAAUCUGACUUUCAGUGACAACACGAUGAGCACAUAGUUAACUUUUGAAUUUUGAUUCCGUCAUGUGUACUAUGAGAUUAAGACGUAAGAGCAUGAAUUUCCAAUUUGGAAAUGUGAAAUUCAACGAAACAAUAUAAUUUUCCUACCUACCUGAGAGAGCUCCUUGGUCACAAGAAAGAGUUACAAAGACUAGUGCUAAAAUCUUGUAAGUGAUAAUGGAAGAGUUGCAGGAAAGAGUAACAGGUAACAUGUAAGUCAUAAUGGAAGAUGCAAAAUUAUCAAGACUAGUGCUGCCAUUUUGUAUGUGAUCUGAAGUAUUCUGUUCUUGGUAAAGAUUUUAGUUUAAGUACACAUGAAUAUUUUUCAUUAAAAGACAAGAAUGUGUACGACAUGACUAGGGGUAAUUUCUGAUUUACAUGCAUAUAUUGAGGAAGAUAAAGUCUUGAAAUGGUUCUAAUCAGAAGUGGACUAUUUAUGUGUCAAACAGUUAGGAAUGGCAAGUGCACUGGAAACUCUAUGUGGGCAAGCCUAUGGAGCUCAGCAAUAUAAAAAACUUGGAACUCAGACAUAUACAGCAAUAUUUUGUCUUCUCAUUGUUUGUAUCCCACUCUCAAUCAUAUGGAUAUACUUGGGACGGAUACUCAUUUUGGUUGGACAAGAUCCUCUGAUUUCACAUGAAGCUGGAACAUUUGCUACAUGGCUUAUUCCUGCUCUCUUUGGCUAUGCAACUCUUCAGCCACUUAUUCGAUUCUUUCAAAUGCAAAGUCUGACCUUUCCCAUGUUCAUAAUUUCCUGCAUCACAAUUGUUUUCCACACAGUUCUUUCUUGGGUGCUUGUCUAUAAGUCUGGAUUGCAGAACCAUGGAGCUGCAUUAGCUAUGGACGUUUCAAUGUGGUUCAAUGUUAUUAUCCUUGGUUUGUACAUGAGCUACUGUUCCUCCUGUGCACAAACCCGUGCUCCAAUUUCAAUGGAGAUGUUUCAUGGUGUGAAAGAAUUUUUCCGCUUUGCUAUUCCGUCUGCUGUCAUGAUUUGGUAAUCUCUGGAUAUGUUGCCAAUUUUCUUUUUCUUUGGCCUUAGAAAUGAAACAUCUUGAGGUUCUAAAGGAUGUUGCGUUUAUGCAUGAUUUCCAGCCUUGAAUGGUGGUCAUAUGAGCUUAUGAUUUUGUCGUCUGGCCUUCUGCCAAAUCCGGAGCUUGAAACUUCAGUCCUGUCUGUAUGGUAUGUUCUGUGUAAGCCUCCUGGAAGCUACAAAUUGAGGGACGAAUAAAUAAAUCUUCAGGGGAGAAUCUAACGUUUUGUUUUAAUUUUCUGAACAGCCUCAGUACCAUUUCGACACUCUAUUCAAUACCAUAUGGACUUUCUGCUGCUGUAAGGUAUGUUGAAGACAAAGUGAAUAUCCGCUCCUACCUCAUGAUCUGUCGAUGACAAGAAGACAUCCAGAUAUUAACUUUUCCUCGUGUUUUUCUUCAGCACCAGAGUGUCAAAUGAGUUAGGAGCAGGAAACUCAGAAGGCGCUCGAAUUCCUGUAAUUUGUGCCGUAAUCCUUGCCUUCACAGAGAUGAUAAUAGUGAAUACAGCCCUUUUUGCUAGCCGGCACGUAUUUGGCUAUGUCCUUAGCGGUGACAAGGAAGUUGUGGAUUAUGUCACAAUUAUGGCUCCUCUUGUUUGUCUAUCUGUUGUAAUGGACAGUUUCCAAGGAACCCUUUCAGGUUAAUUCUUGAACUCCUUUCUUUUGCUUAAUUUCUUUUUAUUGUUGUAUCAGAAGGAACAGGUAAGAGGGGGGCUAGGUUGGACUGUUGCCUUAUAAUGCAACUAAAAUUUUCAGGUGUUGCUAGAGGAUGUGGCUGGCAGCAUAUAGGAGCCUAUAUCAAUCUUGCAUCAUUUUAUCUAGUUGGAAUUCCUAUUGCUCUUGCAUUAGGAUUUGUCGCAAAGUUAGAAGGGAAAGGUCUAUGGAUUGGAAUCCUAUCCGGUGCCACUGUGCAAACUCUACUGCUAUCCAUAGUAACAGCUUGCACAAAUUGGGAAAAACAGGUCUGCUAUCUGGCUUUUUUCUUAAUUCCAUUGAGCUACUUCCAUUUGAAAUCCGUAAACUGUUUAUUUGUCUUCAUUAACUCGAAAGCCUUCAAUAUCUUAUUAUGCAGGCAAUAAAGGCGAAAGAGAGGCUGUUCCAGGAAAAAAUUCCGGCUGAAGAUGGACCAAUUUGAUGACAGGAUAUCUACUCCUGCUAAUUGAGAAUAGGUUUAUCUGGACCAUUGUACCGUUACUGUUUAAGGAUAAUUUUUGUUAGGAAUAAUGACUCGGUAGAAGUGUUGAGACAAAAUUAUCAAGCAGGGACUAUCAUUAAGGUUUGCCAUUUGAAAUAAGCGAGUCCAAACAUAAGCUUCUCCAUCUAGCGUUUCCAGUGUACUUCCCAUUCCUUACUAUCAAAAUAUUGUUAGAACAUGAGAAACUACAGCUUCUGGGAUUAGGUUUAUAAAACAACAAAAGUCUGAUUCAGGCUGUUGAAAAAAAAAAUAAAAAAAAAAAAAGCACAAAUUACUCAUAUUCCCUGUAUAUUUGUAUAAUAUUACAUGAGCCCCUUCAGGUUUGAAAAUGGGUUACCUCUUGUGGUUUUAUAUAAAAUGAAAGUUAGAUGGAAAGCAUCUUCAGUAACGGCAAUUGACCGAGACAUGCUCCAGGAGCGUGUGUGGUGAAAUUAUGAUAUCUAUUUAAUCUUCCUAUCAUUUCAUAUAAAUAUCUAACCAACCCUCUGUAAUUUUGUAUUUAUCAACAUAAUUCCUCUAGAAUUUUAUGUAAAGUGAUUAAACCCUUAUUUAAUUUAGUAUUUAAAUAAUCCUCCUAUCAUUUUUCACUUUACAUGAAACUAUUGAGGGAUUAUUUUAAAAAAACAAUUACUAAAUAUUAGUCGGAUCUAGCCGACAAAUGGGGGGAAAACCAAAAAAAAAAAAAAAAAAGUAUAAAUUACUCAUAUUCCCCUAUACAUUUGUACAAUACCAGAUGAAAGUUACCCUCCUAUGGUUUCAUAUAAAAUGAAAGUUAGAUGGAAAGCAUCUCCAUUAAGGGGCUAAUGGUGUUGACCGAGACAUGCUCCAAAAGCGUGUGUGAUGAAAUUAUGGUAUCUAAUUUAAUCCUCCUAUCUUUUUAUAGAAAUAUCUAAUCAACCCCUUGUAAUUUUGUAUCUAUCAACAUAAUUUCCUUAUAAUUUUAUGUAAAGUAGUUAAACCCUUAUUUAAUUUAGUAUAUAAAUAAGGGCAAUAUUGAUAUGUCUACUAAUGACAAUACAAAGACUAUUAUCCAUCUAUUUUUUUCUCUUUAUAUGAAACUAUUGAGGGAUUAUUUAAAACACAAAAUAAAAAGAAAAACAAUGACCGAAUCUUAGUGGGAUUUAACUACUAGGUAAAAUAUAGAAAAACCCCUUGAGGUUAAGUGAAUAUACAAAAAAGCCCCUUAUAGUUUCAAAAUACACAUUUCGAUACCUCAUAGUUUGAACUAAUUUAAAAAAGUGAUGGAAAUCGUUUGAAUUAACGGGUUUGAAAUACACACACUUCUUUUGAGAGUAUUUGUAUUGGAAACAAAUAAAUUUUUAGUUGAUAGAUCUAUUAUACCCUUAGAAUUAUAAUACAGCAAAAUCUCUUUGUGGUUAAGCAAACAUAUAGAAAAAAGUCUCUUAUAAUUUCAAAUCAUAUAAUCCAAUAUCUCGUGGUUUGAACUAACUUGGAAAAAUUAAUAAAAAUCAUUUAAAUUAAUGAGUUUGAGGUUACGUGACAUGGAAAAUAAUUUUUUAAAUCAAAAUUUUAGCUGAUGUACCUAUUAAACCCCUUAGAACUUGUAAAAUUUCCAUAAAUAACCCAAAACUCUCAAAUACAACUCUCCUUAUUUUUAUAUACAAAAUAAAUAAUAAAAAAUUUCAAAUAAAACUCACCUUUUUCCUAUGCAGAAAAUAUAUAAAUAAAAGCAACAUUUAACUAUAGGGGGUCUUUCUGUAGGUUGGCUUAACCACAAGAAAUUUUUUUCGUAAGUUUGCUUAAUAGGAUCGUUAUUAGAAGGUUAGUUUUGACGAUUUUUGUUACUGUUUCAAAUUAGUUCAAAUCAUGAGAUAUCAAAAUAUAUGAUUUAAAAUCAUAAGGAACUUUUUCGUAAGUUAACUUAAUCUCAGAGAACUUUUUUGUAUUUUAUCCUUAACUAUAUUGCACGUACUAUACGCUACAAGAUAUCAUAGCAACAAGAGCAGGUGAACUCAUCCGUCAGUUUUGGGCCUUUUCUGCUGGACAUGCCACUUUUCUUUUCGGCUGGUUCAACCGUACGAAAACCUAGAAUUGUCGUUUCAUUUGUCAAGAAUUGAUAACCGAGACCCAGUGAGGAUGUUUUUCAAAGCCAGAGCUUGAGAGUUGCAUUUGUUAGUGUCUGAAGCAAUUUUUCUUGUCACAGACAAAACAUAUCAUUAAAAAGAUGGGGUAAUUUCGGAAAUCUCCCUUGAGGUUUGAGAAAUCUCUCUAACCUCCUCUAGCAGAAUUUUGGUGCCUAUUGCUCUAUGCUAACACUUUAGCGUUUAUUACAAACUUUGUUUGGGGAAAAAAAAAAUCUUUGUAGUAAUUAAAAGAAAAAAACUAAUUAAAUGAGAAUUUUAUUAAGUUUCAGAGCACACGCGCACAACUGAUAUUGACAAGAUGUUCUUCAAUCUAUGGGUGUAAUAAAUUAUUAGGGCACGUAAGUUUUUCAAAAAAUUUUUUUUUUUUUUUUUCAAACGUAAGUUUUUUUUUUUUCAAACUUGAUAAUGUAGUUGGAGACUUGGAGUUGGAAUUUGGACCUUCCUGUCCCAAAUUUCAACUGAAGUUUUUAGGAUUUCUUUGGUCAUAAAAAUUUCCAAACAUUUAGAGAAUUUUGAAUUUGGAACUUAAUGACAAUUAUAAUGUCAUGAAACAAAAUUGAUAAUCAAGUGAACAUGUCAGCAAUUUUUUUCCCUUUUCUUUUAAAGGGUUUAUGACCUGCUAAAUGAUUGUAAUGUUUUCUUUUGUUGGAUACGAAAGGAAAAGACAAAAGGGAUGUUUGAGUUUGGACCUGUAAAAUGGGCGGUGGCCUUUGUAGGCAUAGAGAAAAAUGGAGGAGGCAUUUUACUGAAGGAGGGAAAGAAGAUAGAGAGACCAUCGCCGGGGGAUAAUAUGGCAGGAGGUGAAGAAGCCAGGAUAUUUAGCAGGACCUUUGGUGGCUGCGACUAGAAGUGUCAAAAAAAUCCAUUUACCUAAAUCCACUCGUACCCGUUCACAAAUAGUUGGAUAUAGAUAUUUUAUAUUUUUACAUAUGAAUAUAAAUGGAUUAUCCAUUUAUUAAAUAGGUAUAAUUGAAUAAUCUACCAAACUCAAUUAAACCCAUUUAAACUUCUCCAUCGCCACUUACAAUUCAUGAUACAAACCCGAGAUGCAUUCAUGCUAUAUCUGCCAGAAGGACACUAAGAUUAUUGAACUCAUUGCUAGAAACUUUCAUGCAUUAAUAUUGGUGAACUCUUGUAUACAGUGGAACGUUUGAUUUUUCAACCUUAACAAAUAUUUGAUGCAUAUUUUUUAUGCAAAUAGAUAUCCUACUUAAUUUUUUUUGUUCAGAUUAUUCAUUUCGUCAUGAUGCUAACUACUUUUAUUUCAUUUAUUAUUAUAUGUUGAUUUUAUCUUAUCAUUGUAUUUUCUCGUACUUUGUUAACUUGCUCAUUUUUCGGCAUUACCAAUUUAUGACAAGUUUUAGCCUCCUUUCCUACCUUUCCAAAUGAAAAUUUAAAUUUAUGCAAGAAAAAAAAUGCUAGGGGUUCCAAGUUUUUGGAUUAAGUUUUUAUUUUAACUUUCAUAUUAUUUAGUUCACAUUUUUAUAUUCCUAUUAUUUAAUUAUUAAAUAGUAUGUAAUUUUGCGACAUAGCACACGGAUAGGAAAAAUCGAUAAUUAGACUUAUUGGACAUUAUAAGUAAAUAUUUAAAAUUAGUGAUGGGUACAAAGGGUGAUAUAAAUUGAUAGUUUAGUUUACAAAAUGAAUUUAGAUAAGUUUGAAAAAAGUUAAAAUAAAUGGGUUGUAAAUAGGUAAUUAGGUUAUUCAACUCAUUUUUUGAUUUACCCAUUUAUACCUAUCUAAUUAAAUGGAUAUAAAUGGAUUUACUUACUUAUACCCAUUACCUAUUUUUACCCGUCCAAACCCAUUUUGACACCUCUAGCUGUGACCUAAUCACCAUACUUUUUUUUUUCCCCGGGGGAAACGUUAAACCUUAUCACCAUUCUCGUUGCAGGGUGUUAUCACUUCCGAUGGUUGGUCACUAGCGUGAACUUGAAUUGCCUAGCAGUGCGAUGGCCAUCUCUCUUUGUGGUGUCACUGGCUUCAGUUUUCUUGUCGCCUGCUCUAUCUUGAAUUUCUUGAUUGCACUUUGACAUGGAUACCUUGUCAUUGUGCUCGUUUAUUAUCAAGAGAAAUGCAUGUGAAGAUAUUAAACCUUACACAUUGACAAAGACCCUGCUAUACUUCUAACGUUAAUUAAUCAAGCAAACAUUUCCAGCUAUGUUGUACAAGCACUUGAGACACUGUACAUAUUAAUAUUAUUGGCCUCUAAGGCUGUUUUCUGGAAAUGGUUGUGGUUACUGUUCUAUAUUAUGUGUUCCAAAGUUGAUGUAAUAUUGCAGUAGCAUAAAAAAGCUCGAACAAGAUGUAACAGGAGACAUGACAUUUUCAACCAAUCAAUAGCAUUUAUAUGACAACAAAGUACUGCUGCCAAUAUUAGAACAAGUGUCUGAACGCCGGAGCUCCCUCAAGUUGAUGUAAUAUCGCAGUAGCAUAAAACAGCUCGAACAAAGACGUAACGGGAGGACGAUUUGCUAGAAUUUGUGUCCAAAUGGACAUAAGCAAACCCGUAGCUCAAUUCAUCUCUUUGGGGUCCUUCAACCAACCUGUACAAUAUGAAGGGAUCACCUUUUGCUUUGGAUGUGGUUUGGUUGGGCAUACAAUUAAUCGGUGCGUCAACACUGUGAAGCAGCAAUCCUCCGAUGAGGACUUUGCUAAGAAUAUUCCUAGUGAAUAUCCCCUACAAAAUCAUCAAAAUUCCACGGAUGAAGGCUCCAAGCUCGAGACGGAUUCGGAGUACGGCCCCUGGAUGCAAGUUCAACUGAGGAGGCCAAAGUAAAAAAAAUUUCAAACUUGGGCCGUACGUUUGGGGUUAAAAAUUCAAAUGGCCAACCUAACGGUUUAGCCAAAAGAAAGUGGGUCCUGCGUACCAAGCUUUCUGGCUCACUUGGCAGACCCCUGCCUCCCCUGUCUCCAAAGAGCCUAGCAAAAGAACUCACUCUGCAUACUUACCGCAGGACCACCCAACCUCCCCCUUUGACUUCAGCCUUACCAAACCAAUCUGGUAAGUGUGUUUGGAUUGUGAAUUAUUAGAGAUAUUUUUACUGUAGCACUUUUUGUGAUGUGAUGUAUGUGAGAUAAAAAGAUAAUUGGGAAGGUAAAAAGGUGUAUUGGAAAUUGUAAUGAUGAUUUAAGCAAAUAAAUUUGGAGAAAUAAAGCCCAAUCCAAACAAAGUAAAAUUGUUUCUAGGGCCUCCACCACUGCUAAUCCAAAGACUACUUCGUUCCAGACUAGUAACCAUCAACCCCAACGACCAAAUGUCAACCUCCCACCAUUUCCAUCCGUACCUUCUCUCGUACGGUCUGAGGGGGAGACCUCCCAACCAACACUCAGCUCCAACACCACCCUACAACCGACCCACAACAGCACCACAAGCACCCCAAAAUUGCCCUUCAUCCCCCAACAAUCAACCUGCCUUUCGCCGUACAAGAAGAAAUCCCCGACAAAUGCUUCCUCAAAGGCCACAUCAACAACCCCAGCCCCAGAACCCAGCUCAGCUGCCUCACCUUUCUCCUCCUCGAGGGAACUUUGCUCAACCUCUCUGUCAAGAGGAAAAUUGGACCCUCCAGAGCUCCUUUCCUAUGAUGGAGCCCAAAGUCCCGGAGCUCCUUCUGAAAAGCAAACAAAACUCAGAGAUCACGCUGGGAUUGGUCCACUUUUGGACUGCAGGGCCAAACAUAGCGGUAACCAUGACUGCGGAUCCGUACCAACAAGUUCGCAGCUUGAGGAGGGAGAAUUACAUGAGAGCAGUCAAACACAUCUCGCAGGAAACCUAUUCCUUCUGGAAGGAUAUGAAAGUGAUGAUCACAUCCAACAAUCAUGCAGGGGAAGCCAUGGGCUCAAACCCAAAACCAGAUUCAAAGGCCCUUGGAAACAUGGUUUGGAGGAUAGAAACUCUGACAUUGAACCCCUUAAGCUUAAGGCUGGGUACUCUAGAAGAAGAAGGGGUCAUCUUUCUACCCAUCCUAGAUAUUCUGGGAGUAAAAUUAGCUCUUUUAGCCUUCGACAUCCCAGGGGCAGACUGCAAAGAGUUUCUAGUAGAACUUUAUCCAAAACAAGUAAAAUCUCAGGGUUGGAAGAAUGGUCUAAACAUAGACCAGGAAAGGCCACGGUGGUUGGCCCAGUGCAGUUAUCAAAACAACUCCUAUAAUCCCAUGAAGAUUCUCAUGUGGAAUGUAAGGGGGGCAGGUAGCUCCGCCUUUAGAAGUCAUCUUAUGCAACAACUAGACAUUCACAAACCCAGCAUAGUGAUUAUCACGGAGACAAAAGUUUCUGGUGACGUUGCCACCAACAUGUGUAAAAGCCUUCCCUACACCAGAUUUUCCAUCAUGGACGCUAUAGGUUUUAAGGGCGGAAUAUGGAUCUUGUGGGAUGACCAUGAAGUGCACUUGGAUAUCCUUCAAAAGACUGAGCAGGAAAUCCAUGCUCUAGUCAAGGUACUGCCCUCUUCCCCCUCCUGGCUUUUAAGUGCAAUAUACGCUAGUCCUAAUCUUGAAUGUAGAAAAAUAUUGUGGAACAACCUAUGCUCUGUUGCUAGUACUUUUUCCUUUCCUUGGCUCUGUAUUGGGGACUUCAACGAAGUCCUAAACUCUUCUGAAAAAUUUGGGGGGAAAAGGGUUAAUUCAAAAAGAAUCUCUCUAUUUAGAGACUGCAUCGACAGCUGUGGCCUCAUGGACUUGGGCUUUGUUGGGGCUAAGUUCACUUGGCUUAACAAAAGAUAUGAUGGGGGAUUAAUUUAUGAAAGAAUUGAUAGGGCCCUUUGUAACACGGAGUGGAGAACCCUUUACCCUGAAGCCUCUGUUUACCAUCUGGUUAGAACACGUUCUGACCACUGUCCUAUCCUUGUUAAACUGCACAAUGCUACCCCUCCUCGAAAUCUGAGACCUUUUAGAUUUGAAAAAUUCUGGUUUUCUAACCCCACCUUGGAGGACAUUGAGUUUGUUUGGACAAAGAGAUUUUGGAAAAAAAAAAAUUUGCCUCACAAAUCCCAAUCAUCUUUUUAUCUUCCCAAUCACCUUUUUAUCUCACAUACAUCACAUCACAAAAAGUGCUACAGUAAAUAUCUCAAAUAAAUCAUCCAAAUAAACUCUUAUCCAAACAAACUCAUUGUUCUCUCCUUCUGGACAAACUCAAGUGACUCUCUUCAUGCCAUUAUUCCCCCUUUCCAAGAGAAAUUAAAAGUUUGGAGCAAAGUGUCAUUCCCCAACAUUUUCAAAGAGGAAAAAAAGCUUCUAGCCAGAAUUUCAGGAAUCCAAAAAGCUCUCCAAAUUAGACAUUCUAACUUUCUGCUUUGCCUGGAAAAUGAGCUUCAAGCCCAAUUUAAAUCUAUUUUAAGCCAGGAAAAAGACUUGUGGGCUUUAAAGUCUCGAACUGAUGCUGCCCUUUGAGAUGAUUUGAACUCUAAGUUUCUACAAACUACCACCAUUUGUAGGAGAAGAGCUAAUAAAAUCUUGGGGCUGAAAAAUACUGUUGGUGAUUGGACCUCUGAUGAUCGCAGCCUUAAGAUGCUUAUCACAAACCACUUCAACAAUGUCUACACCAUAGGUUUUUCCUAUUCCUAUUUGUCUCCUCAAUCCUCCCCCAGUAGUACCCCAAAAGUUCCAGCAGAUGCCUUACCCACUCUUCUAGCUCUUCCUUCUGAAAGGAAAAUCAAAAAAGCUGUCUUUAGUUUCAAGCCUUUCAAAAGCCCAGGUCCGAAUGGGCUCCACCCUUUCUUUUAUCAAAAAUUCUGGUCUGAAGCCAAGAACCCUAUCCAAAAAUUCAUUCUUGACUCCUUCCAGGGACACCACUUUCCUGUUGGAAUUAAUGAUACUUUCAUCUGUCUCAUUCCUAAAUGUGAUUUCCCUGUAAGCAUCAACCAAUACAGGCCUAUUAGCCUCUGUAACUCCUCUUUCAAGAUUUUAACAAAAAUUCUAGUGAACAGGAUUAGACCUCUAAUGAACUCCCUUAUUUCCCCCUACCAAGCCAGCUUCAUUCCUGGUAGAAGAGCUUCAGAUAACGUCAUUAUUGUUCAAGAGGCUAUCCAUAAGCUCAGGAUAAAAAGAAAAGGCAAAAAAAGCUUCUGUGCUUUAAAGCUGGAUCUUGAAAAAGCCUUUGAUAAACUUGAAUGGAGCUUCAUUAAAGAAGUCCUUACCCUCUUUGGUUUCCCUCAUGAUUUAAUAAACCUGAUCAUGAACUGCAUUACCACUUCUAGAUUGGCAAUUUUGCAUAAUGGGGUGCCAACUGAUUGGAUCUUGCCUUCUAGAAGAAUUAGACAGGGGGACCCCUUGUCCCCCUAUAUUUUCUUACUCUGCAUGGAGUACCUUUCUAUCUUCAUCACAGAAAAAUGCAAUCAAGGGAGUUGGGUACCUAUAAAAUUUGGAAGGGAAGGGCCCGAAAUGACGCACUGUCUCUUCGCAGAUGAUGUCAUCUUGUUCAGUAGCUGUGAUUUGAGCUCCAUCACCACCAUAAAAGAGGUCUUAGACCACUUUAGUGCAAAAUCAGGUCUUAAGAUAAAUCCCCUCAAAUCUCAUAUCUUUUUCUCUUCCAAUGCCCCCUCUGAUACUAGAGAUGAAAUUUCUGCCACCCUCAACAUUUUUGAAACUGAUGAUUUUGGCAAAUACUUGGGGUUUCCCAUUCCACAUAGUAGAAUCUCGAAAAACUCCUACAAAUUCAUUUUGGAAAAGAUGCAGAAAAAGUUGGCUGGUUGGAAGGCAAAUUUAAUUUCUUUUGCUGGAAGAAAAACUAUUAUCCAACAAGUUGCAGCAGCCUUGCCUAUAUAUUAUAGUCAAGCAGCUCCCUUACCUGCCUCAUUGUGUAAUGAGCUUGAUAAAAUCCAAAGAAAUUUCCUCUGGGGCACCACUGAUGAGAAGAAAAAACUUCAUUUAGUAAAUUGGGAUUCUGUGUGCAAACCUAAAACUUUGGGUGGCCUAGGACUCAGAAAGGCUUCUGAUAACAACACUGUGCUCCUUGCUGGACUCUGUUGGAGACUAGUCAAGGAACCUAAAAGCCUAUGGUCUCAGAUUUUACAACAUUGUUAUAUUGACAACAAUAGUACUACCUCCAGCCAUAACCUCACUUUGAAAAGAGGAAAUGGAUCCAUCAAUAAAAAAUCCUUGCAGAAGGGAUUAGAGUUGUUUAACCAAGGCAUCAUGUGGAAUGUCAGAAAUGGGGAGGAAAUUCUUCUAUGGUGGGAUGACUGGAUCGGUAGAGGCCCCCUUAGAUCAAUGAUCUCUGGGCCACUCACCCAAGCAGAAACCAAAAUGAAAAUCAAACAAAUUUUUGGAGACUUUGAUGCUUGGGAUUUUUCUUCUCUCUCUUUUGAACUCCCGGACAAUAUUUGCAGAUUCAUUCAAAGCAUCCCAAGGCAGUUAAUGAGUAAUCAAUCUGAUACUCUAAGAUAGAAAACCAACCCAAAUGGAUCUUUCUCUGCCAAAUCUGCCCUUCUUAUUUUGGAGCAGGAUCUAAAGAAAAAGCCCCCUCAAGGGGAUUUUGAACUAUGGUCUUGGGUUUGGAAGGUCAAAACCAAGUCCAAGGUUAAACAUUUCCUUUGGCUAGCUUGCCAAAAUAGACUGCCUUCUAAGGCACUUCUCCUUAAGAGAAAUAUCACUCCUGACUCUUUUUGCCCUCGCUGCAACCAUUCCUGUGAAGACUCAGCUCAUGUUCUUAGAUAUUGCCCACAUGCUUCCUCCUUUUGGCAAAGCCUCAACAUUCCCACUUCCUUUGAUCUGGAUUUUACAGUUUGGCUUAAAAAUGGUUGUCUGUCCAAGCAUAUUUCUCCAUUUUAUGGAAUCCCCUGGGGUACUGUUAUCUCUUUUGCCUGCUGGAAUCUUUGGAUUGCCAGAAACAAGGCUAUUUUUGAACCAUCUAACCUCUUCUCCAUUCUGCACAAUACUCUAGCAAUGGUGGCUGAAUACUCCUUUUUAGGACCUAUUCAGAACAUAGUACAUCCUAGAACAGAAGUGCUCAUUAACUGGAUUCCCCCUGAACCUUCCUGUUUCAAAAUCAACACUGAUGGAUCUUCCAUAGGGAAUUCUGGUCCAGCUGGAUCAGGUGGCUUGAUCAGAAAUCACCUAGGACACUGGAUAGCUGGGUUUAGCAGAAAAUUGGGACAUGCUACCAAUAUCUUGCUGAGUUGUUGGGGAUAAGGGAUGGACUAUCCUUAGCUUCCUCUCUAAACUUGCAAAAUGUUGAAUUAGAAGUUGAUGCUAAAACUGCUCUAGACUUGCUUAAAUCGGCAGAUACCUCAACUCAUGAGUAUGCUUCAAUUAUCUCUAAUUGCAGGUUCCUGAUCUCUGCCCUGCCGAAAGUCAUACUUAGACAUGCUUAUCGAGAAGCAAACCAGUGUGCUGACAGAUUGACAAAACUGGGUGCUCAACAAGACGUGAAUUUUGUAUGCUAUGAAAGUAUUCCUUAUGCUUUGAGAAGUCUAGUAGAUGCAGAUCUUAAGGGAAUUUGUUUCCCUCGUUUUGUACCUAUAACUUAAGUUUGUUUUAAUAUAUAGUCCCUUUUAUUACCAAAAAAAAAAAAAAAAAAAG
rnacentral:lncRNA from 1 species